GGGGAUUUUGUGGAAAACAAGAAAGACAAGGUUCCUGGUCCCUUGGCAAUCACGUCUGUUUGGGGGAGAUUUGGAGACUGACUCUAAAUUGUCUGACUCCAGAGCCCAGAUGUCUGCCCACCACUCGUACUGCCUUCUUCAUAGGCGAUGGGUCUUAUGAUCAUUGUCAAGCACACGGCCAAGCCUCUCCCAUCUCCUGUCGCUGCGUCUGGGUCCUGGGACUCUGUACUUGGAACAGAGUGGGACUUGCUGAGAAGAGCUCUGAUCCUGGCAUGGGGAAGCAGGUUGAGGGUAGAAUACAGACCACCAGGUUCAGAGUGAGGGUUGGAGGGUCUCAAAAACUGUGAGUAGAAACAGUACUCAUUUUACAGUCAGAUCUAGACUUUGCUGCUUGUGAUUCCUGAAAUCGUUGUCCAAAGCGCAUUGACAUCUCCCCAUCACUAGGAAGGAUACCUGCUCCUCCCCCAAGUCCCCUGACCUACAUCUUCUCAGGAUCAGAAGGGUGGUCACCCCUAGCCAUGUGGGCUGCAGAUCAGGGAGUAGGAACUUGGGCUCCCUCUAGUGAGACAGUGGGGGACCUGCGUUCUAGGCGCAGAGCAGCCUCUCUGUAGGACUUCCUCCCUGUCAAGAAGAUGGUGGGGUUGAGAGAGUCCUGGUCAAAAAUAGCCCCUCCUGUGGCUGCCAAGAACGGCAACAACUCCCCAGCAGAGCUGUCAGGAAAGCUCGCUCUUCUGAGGUCCUUGCCUCUGCACCUAAACUUCCCCCAGCUGUGCACACACAGAUCCCUGGGUUCUGGACCCAUGUAGCUCCCUCAGCCUCUGCACCAAAACUUCCUCCAGCUGUGCACACACAGAUCCCUGGGUUCUGGCCCCAUGUAGCUCCCUCAGCCUCUGCACCAUACUCUUUGCCACACCAAACAGCACUGCUUUCCCUGCUGGGCCCGUUGGGCUGGGCUUGCCCCUGGCCCCUUCCUGCUCACCCCGCUGCUCCCUACCGACUGGGGGUGGGCCAUGACAGAGAUUGGCCCUGAGCCCCAUUUCCGUGCUCAGCUUUUCCUCCUGGAAGCCACCCCAUAGUAUUUUUGGAGUCACUUAACACCCUAAUGAUUAGCAAACUCUUGCAACCAGAUGCCUGGGCUCUGCUGAGUCAGCAGAUGUCCCAACAACAGUGGAGAACAGACCGUGGGCAGUGUCACUUCGAAUGAGUCUCGUGACCUCUCAGGGCUGCAGUCUCCUUGUCUGAAAACUGAAACAAAAGGCUGAGGUUAAAAGGGACAAAAUAUGGGAAAGCACUUUGGAAAGUAUAAUGCACAAGCCACUGUUAGUAUUUCUAUUAUGUUUGAAACCGGGAAAUCAGCUGAGAUGCCUUAUCCUUUAGGAUUCCAAUGGCUUUUCUUGGAUGUCCCCCACCACGACCAUGUAGUGGGCCCCUUCUGCUCUCAGUCUCUCUGCUAUUAUGUAGAUGUGGGGAGAGGUGUACGGAGGUCAGGGUAUUCCCAGUCACCUGGACUUCUGAGCACCUGCUAACACUGAAUUAGGCCAGCUUAGGGACCUGCUUGGUUUCAUAGGUACCCUGAUUCUAUUCCGCAUCAAAUCCAUCUGAAUUUGUAAUUCAAUCCCUUCUCCUAAUUUUCACUAUAAAAAUCUGACAAAUCCUUUGUAUGUAGCCAACGUCACGGGAAGUCUGGGGAGACAGACGGAGCUUACCUCACAGCCACACAGACAACUUAAAGAGAAAGCAGACACACAGGAAGAAGUCCACGUGAAGAUCAAAGCAAGUUGAGAGGGAUGUAGCUACAAGCCAAGGAAUGCCCAGGACUGUCGGCAAUCACUGGAAGCUAGGAGAGAGGCAGGGAACGGAUUCCCCCCUGAGCCUCCAGAAGGAACCAACCCUACCAACACCUUGAUAUCCAACUUCUGGGCUCCAGAACUAAACUUUAGAACGCUGGUGGCUUUUGACUCCCUCCCAUCCCUGAGACUUUCCUCUGAUCAGUCACCAGUCCCAUUGACUCCACUUCCUCCCCUGGAGUGAAUCACCAAGUCUGCCUGAGAGCCUCCACUUCCCCAUCUGUAAAAUAGUGUCCUUCCCUUGUGUGGGAUGGAAGAGAGAAGCAACUGGGUGUAGCUGAGAGUUCCAUGUCCUACGAAGUGAAUUCUCCAUUCAGAGGGCGGUACUCUUCCUGGCAAAACGGUCAGCUUGACCAAGAGGCGACACAUGCUCUUAUUUGAGCAAUCAAGGUUUCAAGGCCUCUAUUCUGACGGAAGCAGCACAGCUUGGAAGAUUCUGCUGAGACCUGUGCCCCCAAGAUUACAUCCCAGACCAUCAUCCACAUACACCCCUUCUCCAGUCAAACCACAAAAAAAUAUGGGAGAACUAGCCUGACAGCUGAGACUGCACAGAGGGGAAAGAAAUGAAAUACCACCCAGCAAGCAUUGCUAUUGUAAUUCCAGUCCAGCCAAUUUUCACUUUUUGCUGGCAUGAGCAGGUUUAGAAGCAGAGGCAGGUAAUCGGGCAGGAAUCAGGGAGGGAGAUGUGAUUCUGAGGCUUGUGUCUGAGAGGCUGGGGUUAGCCCACCCCAAUUUUCUUUCUGUAAUCUUUUGAUUAACCCUGAGCCAGUUUGGGUGUCAUUUUUCAAACCGUCUGUGCUUGACAAGCAGAGCCAAGCCCAGGCUCGCAGCUCGCUCUCUGUAAACAUCAGCUGGGAACCCGCUGUGCCUUGGAGCCUGGGAUACGCCUAAGACACCAGGCAUAUUGGACUGCAGUCCAUCCAGCCCUGGCCCUGUGAGUUACCUACUUUCGUUAUUCCCAUCCUGGAGCUGGGAGAGGUUGAAUAACUUGCCCAAGGUCACAAAGCCAGAGCUGUGACUCUGAAGAUCCCAUACGGUACCAAAGGAACACUCUGUGUCAAAUCCCUCAGCAGCAUCACCCCUGGGAUGGACUGAAUUGUGUCCCCCCAGAUUCAUAAGUUGAAGUGCUAACUUCGACGUAACUGUAUUUGGAGGUAAGAUUUUUAAAAGGAAAUUAAGGUUCAAUAAGGUCUUAAGGGUGGAGGCCCGAUCCAAUAGGACCGAUGUCCUUAUAAGAAGAGAGAGAGACGCACACAGAGAGAAAAGGCCAUGUGAGGACACAGCAAGAAGGACAGAGUGGCCGUCUACAAGCAGAGGAGAGAGGCCUCACCAGAAGCCAGCACCUUGACCUUGGACUUCCAGCCUCCAGAACCACGAAAAAAAUAAAUUUCUGCUGUUUAAGUUGCCCAGUCUGUGUAUUUUGUUAAGGCAGCCCUAGGAAAGUAAUGCACCCGAGACAAUUCUUUGCACAGCAUCCUUUCGCAUAUCUUUCUAUUGUCAUAAAUAUACAUAGCAUAAAGCUUACCAUUUUAACCAUUUUGAGGUGUACGAUUCAGCGGCAUUGAUUACAUUUCACCUUGUUGUGCAACCCUCAUCACCACCGUCCACCUACAGAACUUUUCUUCUUCCCAAACUGAAACUCUGUCCCCAUUAAACAAGAAUCCCCCAUUCCCUCCACCCUCACGCUCCCAGUCCCUGUCCAGCAUUCUACUUUCUGUCUCUAUGAACGUGACUAUUCUAGGUACCUCCUGUAAGUAGGAUCCACACCGUAUUUGCUCUUUUGUGUCUGACUUACUUCACUUAGCAUAAUGUUUUCAAGGUUUAUCCAUGUUGUAGCACGUGUCAGAAUUUCAUUCCUUUCUAAGGCUGAAUAAUGCCCCAGAGUAGGGAUAUACCAUCAUUUUUUUUUAAUCCAUUCAACCGUUGCUAUUCAUCCACUCCCAUAUUUUUAAAAGACAUAAUCCCCUUGCUCACAACUCUGUCUCCAGUGGUUUCUUGCCACAUUCAGAGUCAAAUGUAGACUUUCGUCUCUGGUCUGCAGCCUUUGCGUGAUCUGUCCCUGCAUUUCUGGCCUCCUGCUCUGGUGGCAUUCUCCUCCAGGAGUGCACCCCAGCCAGCAGGCCAUGUUGUUUUUGCUGGAACCCCAGCUCCUCCAGCCUCUGGGUCCUGACGGUUACUGUCUCUCCGUCUGGACACCCUCUGCCAGCUCUCCUCUGGCUCUCUCCCGCACUUCAUUCAGAUCCCCUCCUGUCUACAGUCGCCCCCGCUGUGCACAGUGGCAUUUCCUCCCACCUAACGCUGCCUCAUUUUCCCACAUAACCCUCCUGCAAUUACAUCACACAUUUACUCAUUUGUUUCUGGUCUGGCUUGUGCCCGGAGAGUCCAGCUUCACAAGGGCAGGGACUGUCCUGGCCGUUGCCGCUUCCCCAGCACCUGGCACAGGGCCCAGCACAUAGUAAGUCCUCAGGGGAAGCUGAGAGGUCCACCAGGCAGACGAGAAGCCCAGGAGGAGACCACCUGGUGGGUGGCAAAGCUGGCCCUUGAACCUGGGCCUCUGAAUCCACUUUCCCUUCCUGAAAGUCUCUGCACUGCGUGCCCAUUAAAGGCCCCGGUUCUGUAUUCUGCCUUCCCAAGUCCAUCUUUCCAACCACACUUACCCCCUUAGCAAAGUGUCGAUGAU